rnacentral:rRNA from 1 species
GACGAACGCUGGCGGCGUGCUUAACACAUGCAAGUCGAACGGAAAGGCCCUGCUUUUGUGGGGUGCUCGAGUGGCGAACGGGUGAGUAACACGUGAGUAACCUGCCCUUGACUUUGGGAUAACUUCAGGAAACUGGGGCUAAUACCGGAUAGGAGCUCCUGCUGCAUGGUGGGGGUUGGAAAGUUUCGGCGGUUGGGGAUGGACUCGCGGCUUAUCAGCUUGUUGGUGGGGUAGUGGCUUACCAAGGCUUUGACGGGUAGCCGGCCUGAGAGGGUGACCGGCCGCAUUGGGACUGAGACACGGCCCAGACUCCUACGGGGGGCAGCAGUGGGGAAUAUUGCACAAUGGGCGGAAGCCUGAUGCGGCAACGCCGCGUGCGGGAUGACGGCCUUCGGGUUGUAAACCGCUUUCGCCUGUGACGAAGCGUGAGUGACGGUAAUGGGUAAAGAAGCACCGGCUAACUACGUG